UACGUAGGGUGCGAGCGUUAAUCGGAAUUACUGGGCGUAAAGCGUGCGCAGGCGGUUUUGUAAGCCAGAUGUGAAAUCCCCGGGCUUAACCUGGGAAUGGCAUUUGGGACUGCAAGGCUUGAGUGUGGCAGAGGAGACUGGAAUUCCUGGUGUAGCAGUGAAAUGCGUAGAUAUCAGGAGGAACACCGGUGGCGAAGGCGGCUUUCUGGACAAAAACUGACGCUGAGGCGCGAAAGCUAGGGGAGCAAACAGG
rnacentral:rRNA from 1 species